UUUUUUUUUUUUUUUUUAAUUUUGGAAUUCAAUGAGAUAAUGCCGAAGAGUUGUUGCAUAUCAUGCUUUGUGCUCCCAGGUUAUUUGGGAAGCGUUAAUUGUUUAUGGAUGUUAUGCAACUUGGUUAUUGUAACUUUUAGCGGUUGGAGUUGCUCUUCAUUCUGAAUAAGUUGCUUUUGUUAAAGCAUGAGUGCUCUACGAAACCUGUUGGUUUCUGGAUAAUGCUGUUAAAUUAUUUUUAAUCAGGUUCUUUGAGAUGUGCGCACCUGAAAAUCCUGUCCUUUACCUUAGUUCUGUACUUAUGUAUAUAGAGAUGUUAUGAAACAAAUUGAAGAGCAGCCUAAUAUCAUGCGCCUUGAAAUUGUUCCUUUAUUUUGGUUCACUGG
rnacentral:misc_RNA from 1 species